rnacentral:rRNA from 1 species
GACGUAGGGCGCGAGCGUUAUCCGGAAUUACUGGGCGUAAAGCGUGCGCAGGCGGUUCUCCAAGUCCGGUGUGAAAGCCCCGGGCUCAACCUGGGAAUGGCAGUGGAAACUAGGGGACUGGAAUCUGGCAGAGGGGGGUGGAAUGCCGCGUGUAGCAGUGAAAUGCGUAGAGAUGCGGCGGAACACCGAUGGCGAAGGCAGCCCCCUGGGCUGAGAUUGACGCUCAGGCACGAAAGCGUGGGGAGCAAACAGG